AGCGAACGCUGGCGGCAGGCCUAACACAUGCAAGUCGAACGGAUCCUUCGGGAUUAGUGGCGGACGGGUGAGUAACACGUGGGAACGUGCCUUUUGGUUCGGAACAACGCAGAGAAAUUUGCGCUAAUACCGAAUGUGCCCUUCGGGGAAAGAUUUAUCGCCAUUAGAGCGGCCCGCGUCUGAUUAGCUAGUUGGUGAGGUAAAGGCUCACCAAGGCUACGAUCAGUAGCUGGUCUGAGAGGAUGAUCAGCCACAUUGGGACUGAGACACGGCCCAAACUCCUACGGGAGGCAGCAGUGGGGAAUCUUGCGCAAUGGGCGAAAGCCUGACGCAGCCAUGCCGCGUGAAUGAUGAAGGUCUUAGGAUUGUAAAAUUCUUUCACCGGGGACGAUAAUGACGGUACCCGGAGAAGAAGCCCCGGCUAACUCUGUGCCAGCAGCCGCGGUAAU
rnacentral:rRNA from 1 species